UUCAGCUCAGGCUCUAAUUAUCCAGGCAGGAAGUGAGUGGAACCAGUGCAGACUGACAACCGUGCCAUAGAGAACGAUUCCAAUCAGUGUAAUUAGAGCGAAACCACGUGAGGGUUCGACCUUCAGAAGAGACGGUGUGUGACGUGAAGUGACCUCCUCAGGAAAAAAAAAAAAUGCUUUUAAAGCAAGACGAAAUUAAAUAAUCUCAGAAAUCCAAUAAAUCACAACCCACUCUCCGAUGGCCUGAUAUGAUAAGAAGGAGCCGACGUUACGUAUGAUGAAAAGCUUGUUUUAUUCGUCCUGAUGGUCCAUAAAUACAAACACAAGCAAACUAAUAAGAGCUCGUUACCCUGAAUGGAGCAAAAACCUUCCACCCACUUGCAUAUUAAUCUUUAUAUGCAAUACAUGACCUUCAAUGGCAUUUUAGCUUAAAUAUCUUUCAUCGACAUGUUUUUGGUUAACCGCAAUGCCCCCGAAAACUCUGAUUAAUCCCCUGCUUUAUCUCAAGCUGAAGAGAGUCAUGCAGCAGAGCUUUAGUCUUUCAGUCUGCACAACUCACACAGAUCGGCUAACAUAAACACCAGCUUUCAUGCUAACACCAACACAUAUCCACGGUUUGUAGAUUGCUAGCUUUUGGUUCUACCAAAAUGUUUAAGAUUCAUUGACCUCCAUUGUAACAAAGCUAGAAGAACAAUGUCCCUCUAUGACAAGCUGCUCAUCCACCUCACCUCAUUAGAACCACAACACCAACUAAUUAUAUUUCAAAAGAACCCUUCUGGGUGAGAUGUUCCUCUAGAUUUUAUAGUGUGCUUGUGGAAGAUUUGGAGUAAAAUCAGGUCCUGGUGUAGAUAAGGUGAUUUUAUUUAUAUUCAAUAGGGUUGAAGCUCUUUAGCAGGAGAUCUUCCACUCCAUCCCAUGUUAAGCACAAUCCAAAAAGGACAAUCGAGUGCCUCCAACUUUUACACCUGCGGAUGUAACUGAAGUCCAGGGUAAAAGUAAAUUAUAAAAAAAAAAAAAAAAAGGAGAUUGAAGUAAAACACGGAUUUAUUAAUUCUGAUAUUUUGAAGAAUGAUUUAUAAAAAUCAAAUUUAAUAAAAAAAAUUUUUUUUAAUA